rnacentral:rRNA from 1 species
CAAAUAGCUGUCUUUUAGCAGGAUUUUUUUAGAUGCUGCCAAUUGGAUGCUUUAAUUUGGAUGCGGGGCUGGCGGCGGGCGCCCAGCGGGCGAGGGAGCGCGGGGACAACGAGGGAGGAGCUAGGGCUAGACCUAGCUCCCCUGCUCCUCGAGGACGGAGGGGCUGCCGGCCGGAGGAGGAGCGGGGCGACGACGCAGGCCGCGGCGGUGCCGGAGAUCUCGGUCCCUUCGGUACCGGACUCGAGCCGGAGCUCCAGGGGCGGCGGCGGAGGACGUCGAAGAUGGGGCGGCGGAGUGGCCUAGGAAGCGGGAGCGUCGACGGCGGCUAGGGGAAGGAGUUUGCGGCGGCGGGCAACGGCGGCGGGGGCGGUGGAGGGCAGCGCCUGUCCGCCCUCCUCGGGACGGGCCGGAGGAGGAGGGGGACUGGAAGAGAGGGAGAGGGUUCCCUCCCUUCCCUUACCUUCCCUAGGCCGCCGUUCCCCUCCGUCGCGGGUCUAGGCGUCGGCGUGGCCGCCCGGCGGCAGGGAGCUCUAGCAGGUACCUCCAGGCUGGGCUGACGUCGGUACCUGACUCUACGGACUUAGGGAUCGAUGGGCACCUCCAGGCUGCGGAGUUGGAGGUUCCUUUCCUGCGCGCGGCGGGCAGCGCCGGCGGGGGCGGUGGAGGGCAGCGCCCGUCCGCCCUCCUCGGGACGUGCCGGAGGAGGAGGGGGAGUGGAAGAGAGGGAGAGGGUUCCCUCCCUUCCCUUACCUUCCCUAGGCCGCCGUUCCCCUCCGUCGCGGGUCUAGGCGUCGGCGUGGCCGCCCGGCGGCAGGGAGCUCUAGCAGGUACCUCCAGGCUGGGCCGACGUCGGUACCUGACUCUGCGGGCUUAGGGAUCGAUGGGCACCUCCAGGCUGCGGAGCUGGAGGCUCCUUUCCUGUGCGCGGCCGACGUCCGGUAGAGGCCGCUGGAGGCUGGUACCAACGAGUCUAGACCUGGUCGACGAGGAGGAUGACGAAGUCCACCUGCUCCUGCUCGGGAGGUAGUAGCGACGACGCCGACGGAUGAGGGAGGAGGAUGGAGGACCGGACCACACCACUCGAGGUGGGGGAAGGGACGUGUAGAGUAGAAAACUAACGUUUACCAGACCUGUGUUGAACCACCACAAACGAUUACACGUGCAUAGGCAGGUCAAACUUGCACACACUUUAGUUUAACGACAUAUAACACAACAAACUAAGAACGAACGAACGAACUCGUCUCCUUUUAGCACAUAUCUAUCUGUGUUAGUAACAAGAAAUAAAAAUUGUCGGGUUUCAGUAAGAAGACGUGGUGUAUUAAGAUUAACGAGCGAACAUACCUAAAGUUCAUUAGAGAGAUCGUAGGAAUAAGAUUGUUCACCAAACCACGUACAAUAAAUAAUUACUUGAACUAGUUUUGAAGAAAUAAAAUUCAUGUAAACAUGAAGGUCAAAUAAGUAGGUUAAUCUAAACGUUUGUUGAACGAAAAGAUCGUACCAGUAGGGCCGAAGUCUUUCAUGUAGUUGAAUACGUUGUAGACAUGGAUGAUGUCUAGAAUGCUCAUAACUAGUCGAAGAGCUUUGUUCACCACCUCAAUUACUCGGCCCUACUUCAAGCUCUUCAACGUAAUGUGGCACAUUUAUAAUUACUCGACACCUUCUGUUCACGUGGCUACGAUAGAACGCAUGCUGACUCGUCAGAGCCUAUAUGAAGUUGGGUCUGUAGUUGCGUUGUUUAUUGAACUAAUAUUCCUUGUUUACAGUACACUUCGUUUAUUAAAGGAAUCUUUUUUCUCCCGGUUCUUUUUCUGCGUUUUCGUAUCGAACGAGGAACUAAGGUCAAAGACAUCGGUGGUAACUAUUCGUACCCUGACUCGUUUACUCAUAGUUUUCCUUCAGUUCCUUCGAAGCAGGAGACCCAACGAACGCUACAUCAAGAGGUCGUCGAAGUCACGGUUCAACAUUUGAAUACGUAAACCCCGAUAAUUUCCCUCCGUUAACUGCACGUACAGUUCUCCUCAAUAAGACACCGUUGGGUGUCUCAGUACAAACUAGUAAUUUUCUUAACCGGUGCCUAGGGGUGCCUGCGGCGGCGACGACACCUAGGGGUGCCUGCUGCGUCUGCGGUGGCUUGUCUCGUCCCGCACCAGCACAACGUGACUAACCUCCUCUGGCACGGCCGGCACGGGACAAACCUCCUACUUGUGUCCAAGUGGCGGUACCGAUACUCUCCUGCGUAAACACCUUAGGGGACGUGCGUUGCCUGCCUAGCUAACAAACUUGCCCGCGUUCCUUUCUCUAGACCCGGACGAACUCCCCCACUCGACUGUACCCUCUGGGCUCGACGACAAGUAAAGAACGACGACGAUAUAACUGGAGAUGAACUUCAGUCCUCGGUUUAACUUCUAGUUUAAGUCCGAAAGUUUUCACUCCGACCCCGCGGCUCCACUCCGGUUUAACCGCACACUUAAUCUCUACGACAGUGUAAUUAUAACCUUUAAUAUAUACCAAGUAAACCACAAGUAUAGAGGUAGGAUCGCUGGCGAAACAGGUACCGCAAAAAUGGCGUAGGUGGGUCGUUAAGUAAGAAGCUUCUUCACUUCGCUAUAUUUUUUACACGUAGCCGCCGGCAGCUCACUAGUGGGCAGUAAAAGUUAUCAGGAGAAUCAAUACAUGAUCGUGUCUACAACGCAUGUUUUCAUCCUCGUCAGUUCAACAAAAAAGAGACUGUACCUCCGUUCGACCGGAACAACACGAUACGAGUAGAGUUUAAAAUACGAUGCAGAUGAAUAAAAUCGAUUUGCAUCCAAAACCGUCGUUCUUUGUGAACGUUUACAUACAGAAGACCUAUAUUCAUAGACAAGAUCUUCUAUUUAUAUCUAUCGGCAGUGUUAUUGGCCUCUAUAUUUAUAAACGUGAUCUUCUAUCUAUAAAUAUCACCAGUGUUAUUGACUUAGACAACACAUGAUAUUAUAAAAAUAAGUCUUCUUCUGU